UACGUAGGGGGCAAGCGUUGUCCGGAAUUAUUGGGCGUAAAGCGCGUGUAGGCGGCUCGGUAAGUCUGCUGUGAAAGUCCAGGGCUCAACCCUGGAACGCCGGUGGAUACUGUCGAGCUCGAGUCCGGAAGAGGCGAGUGGAAUUCCUGGUGUAGCGGUGAAAUGCGCAGAUAUCAGGAGGAGCACCAAUGGCGAAGGCAGCUCGCUGGGACGGUACUGACGCUGAGACGCGAAAGCGUGGGGAGCAAACAGG
rnacentral:rRNA from 1 species